rnacentral:rRNA from 1 species
CGGUCCUGGGCUUAGCGGCGAACGGGUGCGUAACACGUGAGCAACCUGCCCCGAAGACCGGGACAACCGAUGGAAACGUCGGCUAAUACCGGACGCCCUCACCGGAUCGCAUGGUCUGGUGAGGAAAUGGAUUCCGCUUCGGGAUGGGCUCGCGGUCUAUCAGCUUGUUGGUGGGGUAACGGCCCACCAAGGCGACGACCGAUAGCUGGCCUGAGAGGGUGAUCGGCCACAUUGGAACUGAGACACGGUCCAAACUCCUACGGGAGGCAGCAGUGGGGAAUAUUGCACAAUGGGCGAAAGCCUGAUGCAGCAACGCCGCGUGAGCGAUGAAGGCCUUCGGG